UCGAGCGGGGAGGUUGCUUCGGUAACUGACCUAGCGGCGGACGGGUGAGUAAUGCUUAGGAAUCUGCCUAUUAGUGGGGGACAACAUUCCGAAAGGAAUGCUAAUACCGCAUACGCCCUACGGGGGAAAGCAGGGGAUCUUCGGACCUUGCGCUAAUAGAUGAGCCUAAGUCGGAUUAGCUAGUUGGUGGGGUAAAGGCCUACCAAGGCGACAAUCUGUAGCGGGUCUGAGAGGAUGAUCCGCCACACUGGGACUGACACACGGCCCACACUCCUACGGGAGGCAUCAGUGGGGAAUAUUGGACAAUGGGCGGAAGCCUGAUCCACCCGUGCCGCGUGUGUGAAGAAGGCCUUUUGGUUGUAAAGCACUUUAAGCGAGGAGGAGGCUCCUU
rnacentral:rRNA from 1 species